rnacentral:rRNA from 1 species
GUGGACGCCAGUCUGCGUGGAGCCAACCUUGAAAUACCACCCUUUAAUGUUUGAUGUUCUAACGUUGGCCCCUGACCGGGGUUGCGGACAGUGUCUGGUGGGUAGUUUGACUGGGGCGGUCUCCUCCUAAAGCGUAACGGAGGAGCACGAAGGUUAGCUAAUCCUGGUCGGACAUCAGGAGGUUAGUGCAAUGGCAUAAGC